rnacentral:misc_RNA from 1 species
GAUGAAGAACGCAGCGAAAUGCGAUAAGUAAUGUGAAUUGCAGAAUUCAGUGAAUCAUCGAAUCUUUGAACGCACAUUGCGCCCAUUAGUAUUCUAGUGGGCAUGCCUGUUCGAGCGUCAUUUCAACCCUUAAGCCUAGCUUAGUGUUGGGAAUCCGCUGUAUUGCAGUUCCUCAAAUACAACGGAGGAUCUGUAACAUCCUCUGAGCGUAGUAAAUUUUUAUCUCGCUUUUGUUAGGUGUUGCAGCUCUCAGCCGCUAAACCCCCCAAUUUUUGUGGUUGACCUCGGAUCAGGUAGGAAUACCCGCUGAACUUAAGCAUAUCAAUAAGCGGAGGA